UUCAUUUCGUAGAACAAAAAUAUAGAAUAGAAGAACGGCAAAAUCCCCUAAUUUCAGUUCACAUCCGCUCUCACAGCGCCUCCAGUCGCCGACAGCUUCGCCUCGAUGCGCCUCCUUCCCACCGCGACGCGCAUCCAAUCACUCCUCUGCCCUCGCCGCUAGUCAGCAUCCCUCCAGCCACCACCUCUGUUUGAUACUCCGCAGCAGUAGGUUCAAAACUGAAGCUGUGUUGGAAGUACAUGUUGCCAUACAAAUCUUUAGUGCUUGUUUCAAACAAAUCUUCAACGUUGAAUUGCAAAUAUAGAAAAAAAAAACACCAUUAAUAUGCAUGCACAGAAAAACUAAGUGAAUCAGGAAUAUGGAUGGCAACGGACCGGAUCUGGACCGGGUCUGGCCAAUACCAGAUCCAGAUCCGUUUUCAUAUACUAGAUCCAGAUCCAGACCCGUCAGAUCCGCGGGUCCACGGAUCCAGAUCCAUGGAUCUACUAUUUUAAAAUUAAAUUAAAAAAAUUUCACAAAAUCAACAACAUCUAAUUUCCAUCAUGAAAAAUAUAACACAAAAUACUUUUAUCUAAUUACUUUUAGUUUUUAUUAUUUUAAAUAUAAUUUAUUUAUUAUUUUUAAUUUAGUUAAUAUUAUUAGUAAACUAAAUAUAAAAUAUAAAAUAUAUAUAUAUAUAAAAUAAAACGGAUCCACGGGUCGGAUCUGGGCCGGAUCCGGAUCUAAAAUUUCAAGAUCCAGAUCCAGAUCCGUUUUCAAAACUGAGAUCCAGAUCCAGAUCCAGAUCCGUCGGGUCCAAAAAAUUGAGAUUCAGAUCCGUAAAAACGGAUCUGGAUCCACGGAUCUGGACCGGGUCCAAGAUCCACUGCCAUCCCUAAUCAGGAACAACAAAAAUGAAAAAUUUGUUUUGAUUCACGUUCUAUAUAUAGAGAUGAAUCUCCAACAUUAAUAUUUGAGUUUUAAAUCUUGUGAAACUUUUGGAAUUCAUAACAAAAUCAUAGCCUUUUUUAAUACCUCAAAAAAUUAUUUAAUGGAAAUUGUUAUGUCAGUGUGAAGCUUUUUAAACAAAACGUGAAAAAUUGAAUGGAUGAACUUUUCGAAUGC